GAUGAACGCUGGCGGCGUGCCUAAUACAUGCAAGUCGAGCGAACGGACGAGAAGCUUGCUUCUCUGCUGUUAGCGGCGGACGGGUGAGUAACACGUGGAUAACCUACCUAUAAGACUGGGAUAAUUUCGGGAAACCGGAGCUACUACCGGAUAAUACUUUGAACCGCAUGGUUCAAAAGUGCAACACGGUCUUGCUGUCUCUUAUAGAUGGUUCCGCGCGGCAUUAGCUAGUUGGUAAGGUAACGGCUUACCAAGGCUACGAUGCAUAGCCGACCUGAGAGGGUGAUCGGCCACACUGGAACUGAGACACGGUCCAGACUCCUACGGGAGGCAGCAGUGGGGAAUCUUCCGCAAUGGGCGAAAGCCUGACGGAGCAACGCCGCGUGAGUGAUGAAGGUCUUCGGAUCGUAAAACUCUGUUAUUAGGGAAGAACAUAUGUGUAAGUAACUGUGCACAUCUUGACGGUACCUAAUCAGAAAGCCACGGCUAACUACGUG
rnacentral:rRNA from 1 species